ACGAAGCAAUUAGAAGGAAGUUUUCGGAUGGAAUUUUAAUUGACUGAGUGGCGGACGGGUGAGUAACGCGUGGGUAACCUGCCUCAUACAGGGGGAUAACAGUUAGAAAUGACUGCUAAUACCGCAUAAGCGCACAGGAUUGCAUGAUCCCGUGUGAAAAACUCCAGUGGUAUGAGAUGGACCCGCGUCUGAUUAGCUGGUUGGUGGGGUAACGGCCCACCAAGGCGACGAUCAGUAGCCGACCUGAGAGGGUGACCGGCCACAUUGGGACUGAGACACGGCCCAAACUCCUACGGGAGGCAGCAGUGGGGAAUAUUGCACAAUGGGGGAAACCCUGAUGCAGCAACGCCGCGUGAGUGAAGAAGUAUUUCGGUAUGUAAAGCUCUAUCAGCAGGGAAGAAAAUGACGGUACCUGAGUAAGAAGCCCCGGCUAACUACCUGCCAGCAGCCGCGGUAAUAACGUAGGGGGCAAGCGUUAUCUGGAUUUACUGGGUGUAAAGGGAGCGUAGACGGCGAUGCAAGUCUGAAGUGAAAGCCCGGGGCUCAACCCCGGGACUGCUUUGGAAACUGUAUGGCUGGAGUGCUGGAGAGGCAAGCGGAAUUCCUAGUGUAGCGGUGAAAUG
rnacentral:rRNA from 1 species